rnacentral:rRNA from 1 species
UUGACCUCGAUCACGUAGGGAACCCCAAU